UCCUCAGCUAGAUGAAUCCUCACCCAUCCCUCCUUAGAGAAUGCAGAUAAAAAAUGAUCGGAGUUCACAUGACAUGUAAUCAGCAUCUCUGUUUAGCCAAGACUCACAGCAUCUUCCUUGUUCUUUCUGGG
ensembl:snoRNA U8 small nucleolar RNA